CAGCAGCCGCGGUAAUACGUAGGGUGCGAGCGUUAAUCGGAAUUACUGGGCGUAAAGCGUGCGCAGGCGGUUAUAUAAGACAGAUGUGAAAUCCCCGGGCUCAACCUGGGACCUGCAUUUGUGACUGUAUAGCUAGAGUACGGUAGAGGGGGAUGGAAUUCCGCGUGUAACAGUGAAAUGCGUAGAUAUGCGGAGGAACACCGAUGGCGAAGGCAAUCCCCUGGACCUGUACUGACGCUCAUGCACGAAAGCGUGGGGAGCAAACAGGAUUAGAUACCCCCGUAGUCCCUGUCUCUUAUAA
rnacentral:rRNA from 1 species